rnacentral:miRNA from 1 species
AAUCACACAUGUGUGAUUUAGGAUCACACAUUUGUGAUUUUAGAUCCCACAUGUGUGAUUCAAGAGCACACAUUUGUGAUUCAUGUUCACAGCCGUGUGAUCUUAAAUCACACAUUUGUGAUU